rnacentral:rRNA from 1 species
AUUGAACGCUGGCGGCAUGCCUUACACAUGCAAGUCGAACGGCAGCACGGGAGCAAUCCUGGUGGCGAGUGGCGAACGGGUGAGUAAUAUAUCGGAACGUGCCCAGUGGUGGGGAUAACGUUCGGAAACGGACGCUAAUACCGCAUACGUCCUACGGGAGAAAGCGGGGGAUCUUCGGACCUCGCGCCAUUAGAUGAGCCUAGGUCGGAUUAGCUAGUUGGUGAGGUAAUGGCUCACCAAGGCGACGAUCCGUAACUGGUCUGAGAGGACGACCAGCCACACUGGGACUGAGACACGGCCCAGACUCCUACGGGAGGCAGCAGUGGGGAAUUUUGGACAAUGGGCGCAAGACCUGAUCCAGCGAAUAGCGCGUGCAGGAUGAAGGCCU